CACGCGUGCAGGCUCUGUUCUGCACCUGCUGCUCUUCAGCACUUCCCCGGCUCUCAGGGGUCAGGGAUCCCGGGCUGACCAUAAGCCAGCCCACACACAGCUCAGAGGAGAUACAGUCCCCAAAGACGAACAGUGGAUCAGGGAGAACGAAGUCCUGAAAACAGAUGGGCAUCUCCAGACCUGAGGCAGGGGGAAAAGCAGAGGCUCUGCUCCCACACCGACUGGCUGGGCAUUCUCGAGGGAGUGCUUAACCUCUCCAAGCCGUAGGCUAGUAAUCUAACAGUCUAAUGUCUGCUAAUGCUGACCUCGAGGGCGGCUGUGAGGAACAAAUGAGAUCAUGCGCGUCAAGUGCCUGUUAGCUUCCACCCUCUGAUCUGCAGACUUUAAUCCUCACAAGCCUGCCCCUUUCUAAUAGGAUCUGGGGUUUCGCUUCUUCCCAUUCACUGAGGCAAGUUAGUUAACCUCUAGGAGCCCUGGGCUUCCUCAUCUAAACGGGGGCAAUAACAGUCCCUACCUCCUGGGGUUGUGGCAGGGGUUAAAAGAGUAAAUGAAUGCAACAGCAGCCCACAGUAAAUGUGCUAAGUGUCUCUGUAUUCGUUUUCCAGUGACUAGUUAGUGGGGCUGCAGGAUCUCCGCAACAAUAUCAAGCCCGAGGGUACUCCAUCGAGUGCCUAAGGUGAGCGGUGCCAGCCUCCCCCAGAGGUGCUGGUCCUUUCUGCUCUGCCAGGAAAUAUUUAGGUGGCACCAUGCUGGGCAUUGCUUGUACCAGUCUGUGGAUUUCUGAGCUUGGGACAGGGCGGCUGAAGACCCGCAGGCCAACUUUAACCAGCGCUCACCAUUAGAACCCAGGUUAUGGUGACCACCCGGCCAGACGGCUCCAGAUGCUGGACAGACCAGGGCAAAGGCUGUGGCCAGAGACAGGUCAUCACCACCCACCUUCCCAAUUAAGAGGGCCUUAGGUAAAUUGAGGCCAGAAACAGCGAGAGACUCGUCCAAGGUCCUUGCCCUCUGCCAAAGGUUGGUGGCAGAGCCGGAGCAAUAAUCAUGACGUUUCAUGGGCACUUACUAAGGGCUUUACCGGUAGUAACUCAUUUAAUCCUCCCAUGCGUCCUAUGAGUUAUCAUCCCCGUUUAUGUGAGGAAAAUGAGGCCCAGUGGUUCUAUCGGUUGCCCAGCUCACACGGCGAGUCAAUGGGGAAAGGCUGACAAUAGAACCCAGGGCUCACGGCUUCCCGUCCAGGGCCCCAUCCACCUGCCCAGCCUCCUCCUGCUGGCUCGCAGCCCAGCCUCCCUGUGCGUGGAAUCCGGAAAGAAGUAUCGGACUUCAAUCUACAGCAAAAUGUUAGUUUCGAUCCUGGAAUUGUGCCGCCUCAUGGACCCUCCCUUUCUGCCCCCUUCCCUCUAGGCUUCCAAGAGGGAGUAAGCAGCGGGGGAGCGCCCCAUUCCCCCCGCGGCAGCCCCGGUCGCCCAGUCCCGGUCCCCAUUACAGCGCGUGGGCGGCGAUCCAGCAGGAGGAGGAGCAGAUCCACAGGCCGAAGGAGAUGCAGACGCGGUGGCGGGCGAAGCAGCGGUCCAGGAAUCGCUGGUGUUGAUGCUGAAAGGUCACUGGAUCUCUUCCAGGAGGAGGAUGACAGUACAGAAGUUUACCCUACAAAGACAAUGCGAAUGACAACAGCGCCUUGUAAGUGCCAUCUGUGUAAAGUCCUCAGAGGAGACAUCUCCACACGGGCACACUGUGCCAGAGCUUUCUGCUUCGUGAUUAAGCUGGCUGAGCCGAGUUUUCGUCAACUCUGACCACAGAGUCCUCACUAAUAUGUGAUGGUGAUCCUAGUGUUCUAGAUGCCUAGCUCUUCCCAGAGCCCCAAACUAGCAUGAAACCUGUCUCCUCUGUGCUCCUGCUACCUUGUCUGCAUUUCUACUAGAGUAUUCUUCAGAACACUUAUAUGAUUAUACUGAAGAAGAGUAUUUUCCAAAACAAAAACCAGGACACAGUGGACAGUAUGACUGUACUCAUGGCGAUACUGGGCAAGUUGCAGUUGUUCACUGGGUGCAAACUUUCCUCUUUCCAGCAUAAACACUGAAAACUGGUUGUUUUUAACUCACCUUCUCAUCUAGUUUUAUAAAUGGCAAAUGAAUAAAUAAUUUAUCCAUACAAAUGUUCUAUUAA